GCUUGCCUUAGGAAGCAGAGCUGGUUUGGAUUUUCACCAUGGCCUGGACUGCUCUCCUCUUCUUCCUGCUUACUUAUUGCCCAGGGUCCCUCUCCCAGUACACGCUGACUCAGCCUUCCUCAGAGUCUGUGUCACUAAGAAACACGGUGAAGCUCUCCUGCACCAUCAGCAGUGGAUACACACAUGGAGCUGUCUACUGGUUGCAGCAGAAAGGCGGGAACAGCCCAAGAUACCUUCUGUGGUACAAUACAGACUCUAGCAAGCACCAGGGCUCCGGGGUCCCGAGUCGCUUCUCUGGUUCCAAAGACACCUCUAAUAAAAUUGGCUACUUAACCAUCACCAGUGUCCAGGCAGAGGAUGAGGCUGAUUAUUACUGUGCUGCCUACAGUAGUAAUGUAUAG